AACGAACGCUGGCGGCAGGCUUAACACAUGCAAGUCGAACGGCUGUAGCAAUACAGCAGUGGCAGACGGGUGAGUAACACGUGGGAACCUUCCUAGGGGUACGGAACAACUCAGGGAAACUUGAGCUAAUACCGUAUACGUCCGUAAGGAGAAAGAUUCAUCGCCCCUAGACGGCCCGCGUCGGAUUAGGUAGUUGGUGGGUAACGGCCUACCAAGCCUGCGAUCCGUAGCUGAUCUGAGAGGAUGAUCAGCCA
rnacentral:rRNA from 1 species